GGGUUGUUAGCUCAGUCGGUAGAGCAGUUGACUCUUAAUCAAUUGGUCGCGGGUUCGAACCCCUCACAACCCACCA
rnacentral:tRNA from 4 species